rnacentral:rRNA from 1 species
CCUACGGGAGGCAGCAGUGAGGAAUAUUGGUCAAUGGACGGAAGUCUGAACCAGCCAUGCCGCGUGCAGGAAGACGGCUCUAUGAGUUGUAAACUGCUUUUGUACAAGGGUAAACCUGAAUACGUGUAUUCAGCUGAAAGUACUUUACGAAUAAGGAUCGGCUAACUCCGUGCCAGCAGCCGCGGUAAUACGGAGGAUCCAAGCGUUAUCCGGAUUUAUUGGGUUUAAAGGGUGCGUAGGCGGAUUGUUAAGUUAGAGGUGAAAUGUCCGAGCUUAACUCGGGAACUGCCUCUAAUACUGUUGGUCUAGAGAGUAGGUGAGGUAGGCGGAAUGUAUGGUGUAGCGGUGAAAUGCUUAGAGAUCAUACAGAACACCGAUUGCGAAGGCAGCUUACCAAUCUAUAUCUGACGUUGAGGCACGAAAGCGUGGGGAGCAAACAGGAUUAGAUACCCUUGUAGUC